UGCAGUGAGACAGCACCACACAGCUCAGUGGUGUUGGCAAACGUGCUGAGGGUGGGCUCCAUCCCUGUCACUGACAGAGGUGUUAAACAGCACCCACCCCUGAGGAACCCCAGCCCUCACUGCUCUCCUCUUGGACAUGGAGCUGUUGAUCACAGCCCUUUGAGGGCAUCCAUCCAGCCAGUUCCUUAUCCACAAGUGAUCAGUCUGUCAAAUUCAUGUCCCUCUAGUUUAAUGACAAGGGUAUUGUGUGGACAGUGUCAAUGCUUUGAGUCAUCAUACUGUUGCAGUAAAUAUUUUAUUUGGCAGUAUAGAUUUCUUAGUUUUAUGAGCUUCUUGCCAGUUAAAUUUGGCAGAUAUAUCUAGAUAUUACUAAUUACUGUUUGAGUAUUGCUGACAUGACUAGUUUAAUUUUUCCAAAAUUUGUUGAAUAUACUGUGGUUUGCAUAGGUCAUAUUGUGCACUGCUCAAGGUUUCUUUUUUCUUUUUAAGUUUCAGUCAGCUGCAAGUGGUUGUAUCUGCAUACUUCAGGACAAUCUGGGCUCUUGUUGAGCUGGAAUCCAUAAACAUAAUUAUGAUGGUGGUGCUGUAGUGUAAUUAGGUUCAUUAACAAUAUAAACAUGGAGUAUUUUAUUCACAGGAGAUUACUAGCAUGUCUUUAAUUGUAUGCCUGUGGUUUGUCUGUUUGGAACUUUUCUUUCAAGUAAUUUGAUUUUUCUUAAAGACUGGGAUUCUAAGUAUGAAAGAUGCAUAUAUAUGUUUCUUCCAAGCAAGUAUGGAGAGACAUGGUAUGUUAUUGUCUGAAGAGAAGGAUUUUUUCCCUCAAAUUUUUUUUUUUUAGAAAGAAUGGUAUUUCAGUUUUGAGAAAUUUUUUGAAAUGUAAAAGCACAGUAUAUAUGUGUUUAGCUUAGUUUAGUAUCUCCUUCUUUUUUUAAACAAAAUUUAAAAAUUCACCAGGUCUUCUCUUGCUCUUGUUUUAAGUCAGUCCUAAUACCUCAGCAUUGUUUCAGUGACUCCUUAUCUUGUUUCCACUGUUGUUACACUUUCAGUUUGCAAACAUUAAAGCAUUAGCUAAAAGAAGCAGAUACUGACUGAAGCAGGCAAAACUCUAGUUUCAAUUAGCAGCAUUAAUUUAUUCCCACAUUGAUUUAAGGUAUCUAUCCCCAUCUAAUAUUCUUGUUUUUAGCUUUUAGCAGGCUGAUGAUUAGAACAUCCUUGCCUGAGGAAAGCUUGAUCUGUCUCCCUCCAGGACUCAUCAAUAACUAUUUAUUUGGAUAGUCCUUAGGGUUUUAAGCAGAGCACCAAAAGUCAUUACUGUCCCUCAGGAUCUGAUUGUGCUGUGGCUGAAAUGAUGCCAGCCUGUGACAGUCAAAGCAUAAGGCCUGUGUUUGGUUAUUGGACAGUUGUAUUCAUACUGCUUUAACUUCUAGGCCAUUUUGAUCAGUCUUGUGACCAUUUUUACUGUCAUUUUUUUUCUCCAUAUUGUGUUGUGCAGUUAUUGAUCAGUGAGGAACUAAGACAUGGCUGUGAUAAUUCUUUGCUGGUUUUAACAUACUUUCGUUUACUUUUUGAUGAAGCUUGUGCUUUCUUGGAUUUUUUUGGUGUUACAGCAGGAAACAGCAGUUGUUCUGUAGCUUUUGGCAGGUGCUCACUGCGUGUGUGCACACCCGAACUGAGCCAAGCUUGUGAAUGUGAGGAUUGCUUGAUUACUGUGGCAGUGCUGCUGCCCUCCUUGGAUCUUUGUAGGCUUGUUAGGGAAUUAGUAUCUGGUAGUACUGGACUUAAUGAUUAAUGAUUUAUGGGUAUAGUAUUUGUUCCCUGUUCUGUUUGCUUUCCUACAGGAAGGUUGAUUUCUUGCACAGAAACAAGUACCUAGAGAGCUGGUGAUAUUUUACACUGUCCCAGCUGUCUUUGAGGUGGAUAGUUGCUGGAUUUCCCGUUGGCAAAUCCUGUAACAGGAUUUUGGUGCUGGUGACAUGACAGGCUUACCCAGAUUCCUUAUGCUUCCCACUGAACUAGAGGGGAUUAAUACCUAUGGUGUGUGGUUCUGUGAGAAGGGCUCACUGCAGCCUCAGUGUUUUACAGCCCAAAUGAGUUGUCCAGCAUUCCUCAGAAGUCCCCUUUGCCCAGAAGGCUUUCCACCACAGUGAGCUGAGUUAGUUCACUGAGGAAUCAGGUAAGUGCCAGAGCCUGAGUGCUGAUGGGAGAAUAACAUUCGUGUUUAGGUUUUAAAACUUCACCUAAGAUUCUCUUGUUACUAUUCUAGGGCAGCCUUAGUGCUUCACCAUUAUUUUGUGUACUUUUUUCUUGUAGUCCUUGCCAUUAUAGCUGCAGUUGGCAAACAUUAUAGCAUUAGUUUAAAGAAAAUGUUGUAAUUGAAAUUUCAGGUUUUAACAGAAAUUCUGGCAUAGAAGAAUAUGAUGAUCUAGAUAGCAGCUCAUUUGUAUUAAGUAAGAAUAUGGUGGAAUGUCUUUCACCAUAUUGAAUAAUCAAAUGCCUAAUAAAGUUCAUGCAUAGUUCCAUCUGAGUUAUUUAUUAAUCCUUCAAUGUCUACCUGCUACGUAGGCAGACACUUUUUCAUCUUAAUUAUUAGAUAGUGUGAACUUCACCUUAACAUACUGCGUGGGUAUUUUGGAUGUAAGGUACAUUAAAAUGAAACAGCGGUAAGAAAAAGUAUGAAAUAUUCUUGAGUACGUGGUUCCCACUCAGGAAUUGCAAAGUCAGCCACUCCUUGAAGGCUGAUGUGGCAAAAGAGCUCACCUACAAAACAGGCUCAUUUGGUCUGAUAGGGCUCUUGUAGAGCCUUAUCACCCUGUUCCUUCCAAUUUGGGGGGAUGAAAGUUGAGACUUCAUUUUUUUUUUUUUUCCUUCUGGAUCCUGGUUGUUUGAUAAGAACAUCAUGAGCAGGACAUUUUAUUGCUUCUCUUGAGAAGUGUCCAGGACAGCUGCUAUCCUUGCAUUUUUAUGUUUUCCGUUUUUACUGUUUCUUUUCAGCAUUAAUUAAUCCAGCAUCUUCCAUUUCACAGAUCAACAACCACAAUCAGUGUGGUAUAAGGCGUUUGAUUUCUUGUCUCAGCAGUUCUUACUGGCAGCAGUGGACCUGUUAGACUUUUAAGGCAUUCUGUUUCUGUUUGAUAAAGUUUUGGCAAUGUAGUCAUUGAUAUUUAAAAAAGAAAUAUGUGACAUUUUAACCCACAAAGAUUACAUGUCCAGCACAUGUGAUGCAUCGCCUCUGUAUUUCUAAAAAGGAGAAUAUGCUAAAGCAAGGCAUUGGCAUUCCUGUUAGAAUUCAUAUGAAGUAAUGAUAUGUUCAGUAUAACAUCCUCCUGAAUGUAUCAUGCAUGGCAAAAACCAGUUAUUUGUGGAAUGAGAAAAGGUGUUGUGAUCUGUAAUCAAUAUAAUGGCUUUUUUAGACCAGUCUUGGAAUGAACAAUUUUUCUACAUUUUAACCAUAGUUUGACAGUAACACUUUCAAGAAAAUAUUUUCUGAGUUGUAAGAGAAAACCCCACCAAAAUACCCUAGAAAAUUAUUUUAUGUGUUUUUGACCAUUUCAAUGAUUUGAGUAUGUCAGCCAGAAGCUGGAGAUCUAAGAACUGUCAGAGACUCAUUUGAAACAUGAAAGUAGCUGUUACAGACCAUAAUAAUGUUUUCAAGUUCACUGUGUCCAAAAUGUUAUGUUUUUAUUGCAGGAAAGGUGUUUAAGCUUUAAAGUUAGAGCAGUACAUAGCUAGAUCAUGCUAGUAUGAAAGGACAUUUGAUCUAAGUUUUAGCAACGGGCUGCCUUGUUGAUAGCUCUUUAUGGGAGUAGAAGAAUAUGUGCAAGUCACUGAGCUUUUGACAAGGUGACUUAGGGUGAUGGCAUUUGCUCUCUCUGAAGCAGUUUAAAAGGAGGGGCCUUCAAGUAACAGUGACUAAAAAUAUUGCAUGAUUGGGUUUCAUUCUGAGACGAAAGGCAACACCUGGCAAAGGAACCCUGUUAGUAUAGUAAAAUGUAAUUUUUACUUAAUCUAAGUAAGUAAAGUUUUACUUUACCUCUAGUAAUUGUUUCAGCUCAAAUGCAUACAGUACCUGUCAUUAUCAAAUAUUCAGUCAUGUAUGUACUCUCAACAUUGUUCAAAGCAGGGUAUCUGUUAAAAAAUGCUGUGUUUCUUUAUCAUAAUUUAUAAUACAGAAUGUUGAAUUAAUCAGGUCAAUAAGACUUGGUUAAGAUGAUGCUGAAAUGUACAUAGAGUGCUAAUGAUUUUCAAUACAGAGUCAUACUGCGCAGAUCAGGAGUACUAGAAGGUUUAUGUGUGUGUAUAUAUAUUUAUUUCAGUAUCAUUGGCCAGAGAAAGGUUAGGAUGAAUCACCCAGCUCACCUGAGUUUUGUUCUUUGUGAGUUCACAAUGAACUAUGUGUAUUUACCCUUUAAGCCAUUUGUACUGUUUGUGUUACUGCAUUUUUCUUAAGGUUCUGUGUAAAAUUCCACAGAGAAGACAUUUCAUAUUGAAAACAUACAAGGCCACAGUUUCACAGGAGGUUUAAGCCUGUGAUUAGUCUUGCCUUAUACCCAGCACUGGUUUCUUCUGUUUAUCUUUAGUGCUGGCACCAGUGCUUGUGUUGUAAUCAGUUAGAUGAAGGUUUGAUGAGCCUGAAAAUUGCCACAGAGAAUGGGAGCAGGUUUUUGUCUGGAUUAGGAAGCUUCAUGGCAUAGUGGUGUGAAAACAAACACAGGCAGGGCAAGUGCCUGGAAAGAAGCAUAAGUCAUUUUCACUGGAAUGAUCAAACUGGAUGCAAGUGAAUUGUACAGAUUUUAAAGUGAUAAUUCUAAUAAAUAUCACUCAAAAGAUACGCUGAAUAACAGCAAAUCCAGGAGCUCAUUACCACUGAAAUAACUUAUCCAUCCUCUGUCCACAUCAGGUUAUGUCUGCAUUUGCACUUACUUUGCAACUGGCCUGUUAUGUUUCAGCCUGUUAGAACGACUUCCAAAAAACGUGACCAAAGGAGUGCUGGAGCUGGUGCAGGGGCAGGGCUGUGUGCCCAUGGCUAUGAGAGAGAGCAGACUGCCUCUGUGACAGCAGCACUGAGCUUGGGUUGACCUCAUAUGUGUGACUGAGCCACAGAUCUACUCUCAUCCCCAGGAAAGGAAAAGGGAAGAACAUUUGAGCUGUUCCUGCUGUCAAAAAUGGGAAGGAAGGGAAGGUGUUGAUUCCUUCUUCUGGUGGUGUUCUGUGUCCUGUCUUGCUUCAGCUGUUUCACUGGUGACUCUUCUGUUCACUGCAUUUAACCUAGGAAGCUUGCAUGCAGUUUUUGAACGAACAGAAAGGAAAUUAUUCUUCAGAUAUGGGCAGUUAAGUGUGUAGAAGUUCUUGGCACAGAAUGUUAAACUUUUAUCAGUUCAAGGAGUGACUGAGUAAGUUUGUAGAAAAAAUACUUCACUGAAGACUGAUAAAUAUAAAGAUUUUAUCUGUGGCCCCUGUAGCAAAUUGUUGCAGAGUGGGCUAGUGUUUGGCUGUUGUCUUGAUCAUUCCUUUACCCUUCCCCAGGUGUCCACUUUCAGCCAAUGUCUGGAGUAGGAUAAUGGGCAAAGUAGAUGGAACUUUGAUGUGACUCAAUGUAACUGCUCUGUUAGCAGAACUCAAAGUAGCUACAUGGAUUCUCAGGAUAAGUUUAAUUUUGAAAAAGAAGUUAUAAUCUGUAAAUGGCAUGAGUAAAUCUAGACUUUUUCUUACUGAACAUUAAUGGACUCCAGUUGGCGCUGAUAAUGUUUGAACUCUUCAGGUAAGAAAAGAUGUUGUUCAGGGUAAGAAUUUGCAACUGUUGAUUAUUGUAUCUCUAUUGUAUCUCAGUUGUGCUGUUUUAUAUUAAAAUUGUAGAAGAUAGGUUAAAUCACAUAUGCAAAGUGAUGAUAUACUCAAUACAUGAAGUAUUGAGAGUUGCAAAUUCAUGCUCUGUUUUUAAAGGCCUUGGUCAGUGUAGGUCCCCAAUUAAAGUCUCAUGUCUGUAGAUAAAUUCAUAUGUGUGGGUUUGGAAGUGAUCAGUAGUAUAUAGUAAAAAUCACAAGCUUGGUGUUCUUUUUCUAGGAAAUAUUUGUAUUAGUUCUUCAUUGUGAAGACUGAUUUGAAAUGUUGAACAAUAAGUUGUUGAAGCCAUUUCAGGUGCUACACUAAAGGCCAUAACUAUUCUCUCUCUAAUGAUUAUUCAGUUGGACAUGCCAUGUACAGAAUAAAAAAGAAAUGAAUUUGUACCUUAUUACAACAUACAUAAGUUGUGAAGGUGUUCUGAAAUGUUUUCUUCCUACUCUCUCUCAGAAAUAUUUUUGAACUCGUCCAGCUCUUUACAUUUUUAAAAUAAAAUUUCUAGUCUGGUAUAUUCUCUGUUUUGCAUGAGUCAGAUGUGCAUUAGUAGUUCUCACUGUUUUAAAUAAAGAGGCAGAAUUGUUGAAUCCUUAUCAAGGCAGACUGAGGUGGAAAGGGUAAAACAGAAUAAAAGUUCACAUCUCAUGUUAAAUCUUAGGUUAAUCAUCUCUAAAGUCAUAAUCACUUAAUUUUUUAACCACCUACAGAAUCUUCUAGCAUAGGUGGUGUUUUAUGUUGAAAGUAAGAGCAAGCAAAGAAAAUAUUUAAAUUCCAGAAGGAAAAUGUACAGGUUUUCAAGCUCCAUAAGGAACUUGCAAAAGGGGGGGUUGUAAUCCUACAUAUUUCUGUAUUCUGAAGUUCUUCUGUUUUAGGGUUUUUUAAGUAAAAAACUGUUAAGUGAGUGCAACAUACUUUUUGAUUACAAUAGCAAUGCAGCUAGAUUAUAUGUGAGAUAGAUGGAGGGUCAUGGGAUUCACACAAAACUGGAAAACCUUUUCAGUAUUUACCUGGUCUUGAGGUUACUUGAUAUAUGCAUGGUAUACAUUUUGCAUGUAUUUUAUAGGAAUAGGAGGGCUGGGAGAAUUAAUGAAGUUAUACAGAAUGAAUGAAGUCAUGACAGUGUUUUGGAGUUCUCCUUUAAGAGAACCAAAGCAAGAAUUUUUCUGUUGCACGAUGAAUACUAAUUCUUGGAAAAUUUCUAUUCUGUUGUCUUUCUAAUUUCCUGAAUCACCUCAGAGCUCAAUGACUUUAGGUUGCAAUUCUGAUUUUAAGUUGCUAAAAAAUUAAGAAUGAAAAAAAUUUAGAUGUUUUCUUCUAGUUUUAAUUCAAGCUUUUACUUCUGUUACAGUUGAGAGAUUUCAAGCUACCCUUAUAGCCUGUUCCUGCAGAUGAAUGGGGUCCAUUUUAAAUCUAAGUAGAUUCAACUAUAGCUUUCCUGUUUUCAUAACUGGUGUACAAAUUCCAUUCUUUGAUUCUUGCAUAUGGUAGCUGACAUCACAUUCAUCUUGUCACUUGUGUGUGUUUCAGAUCUCUGUUUUGAUUUCCCAGCUUAGUUUCACUCUCUCUCACAGAAAUGUGACUAUGGUCUUGCAAGUAACUUCAGUCUCUGUUUGCCAUAGUACUGCCAUACAGUUCUGGUUGCACCCACACACUAAUUUAUUUACUGAAAGCUACAAACCGUUUUCAGUGAUGAAUUGUUUGUCCAGAGCUUUAGCAAUGCUUUAGAAUGCUGAAAAUAACCUUUGUGUAAAAAUGUUAUACCACUGCUUGUUUUGUAGCCAUAGGAAAAGAGAUUUUUAUAAGCUUAGUUGUAAAGUUUUUUAUAGAUGUUAAUAGUGCCUUAUCGACAGCUGAGUUCCCUUUCACCACUGUGUACGUGUAGCACAUGCCUGAAUAUUACACCCACUUGUCCAUAUUCAUGAAUUUAUUUUUUAUUAUCUGUAUGACAGUUCAUGAGCAGUACUGAACAGUGAGAUUGUACUCAGCCAGACCCAUUGGCAACUUUGAAGGCAGGUGAUGUGACUUUGGGUUUAGGGUAUUGUGUAAGUUGUGUGACUCUAGUCUGCAGUUCCUUCCUUCUGAAAGAAGGGAGAAGAAAAAUCCUCAUAAAAACACAGUUUAUUUGUUCUGUUUUGCUAGACUCUCUCACAAUAUUCAAGGUUAUCUUUAGCAUGUUUUUUACACAGACUGUUCUACAGUGCAGUUACAAAGAACCUUCUUUCUUAAUCAGCCUAUUGACUGUCAGGCCCUGCCAGUGAUACUCAGUUUUACAAAAAAAAAGAACUCCUUUGAUUUUGGGGAGAGUGUAAUAUUUUGGCAAGUGACUUAAACUCCAGGCUUUGUUUUGAUGUAAGUGUACAUUUAGUAAUUGUGCCCAUCUCCAGGAAAUGCAAGUGAUCCUGUUUCUUAGGAGAACAUUUUUUUAACCUUAAGUACAAAAUGAGAGCCUGAAUUGGAUGCCUUCAUGUUAUAGUUCUCUACUACAGCAAUUUCCCUCCCCUCAGACUGUAAUCUGAGGGGGCAAAGAAUCCAUAAUACGGGCAGUAGAUCCUUCAAAAGCACCCAGCUUUUUAUGUUCCAAGGUGGCAUCUCCGCUCUUCUACUGAAGCUCGCUGGUUGUGUUGAUAAGGCUGCUGUUAUCUGUAGUGCUCUAACCAUACUGCGGGGCUAGAGAUGGAAUACAAGACUUUGUGGGCACUGUGGAGAGCCGUGAGCCAAGCAUCCCUUCCCGUGCCUUCAGAGUGCACCCCAGGCAGCUGUGCCUGCGUACCUGUGCUCUUCAUUGUGGACCUGCUCAGGCACUACUCACACUUACAGUGCUCUUCCCAAAUUCCUGGGACCCAGUGUGGGAGAGGGCUGUGGAGGUCUCCCCGUGCGGAAAGCCGGUGGAUGUGGGGCAGCAGGAGAUGGAGCUGAGGCGAGGGGCUGGCAGCCAGCCUGCUGGAGAGCUCUGCCUGCAGUGAACACGGAGGUGUUGUUCUGGAGCAGCUGCAUCGAGAAAGUGCUGAAAGGCAUCUCCUGGAGAAGUGAGGUCAGAUCUGUGAGCCUUUAUCUGAUUUAUGUGUUGUCUCUGCAGAAGGAUCAUUGUUACAACUUCAUGUAAAUCCUUUGUCCAUUGUCUGGAUAGAUACAGAAAGAAAGGGUUUCCUGAAAUAACUUUGUAAUUCAAACUGUUAAAAUUACAGAAUGCCUUAUGCUUUUAUUAAAUUAAGUUACUUAGAAAAAGUGAAUGUAUCUUUGGACUUAGAGCUUUUUCCUCAGCUCUAACAAGAACCAACUCACUGUCAGCCUGGAUGAACAACUCUGAGCCUGAACCACUACCAUGAUUUUCAUUCCCAGUAUCAAGAACUUUUGAUUAAGAGAUUGUUGCUUUUCUUAUCUUUAGGCCUUUACAGUUUUAGCACCACUGUGGUGCACUUGCAGGUGAUGGCUGAGACCAAUAAAAAAUGCUGAGUGACUUUAUUUUGCAUUCUGGUGUUCAACUGUCCUUGUAAAGUUUUCAUGAAAUGUUUCUUUAUCCUACCAUUCAGUAUUACAUGUAAUUUUAAAAUUGUAUAAUUAUUUGCAGUGUUUCCAAAUUAUUGUAGAUUAGGUGUGAGAAGUAAAACAGAUAACAGCUUAAGAGCUGUUAGUGUUAUGAGUUAAAGCCUUUUUGAAGUAUGGCCUAUCUGGCAGAAGAGUGUGCCCACAUCUAUAAGCUUUCAAUGUGGAUUACACCUGUAUUCAGACAUGUUUUGAUUUAACUACGGGCUCUAUCCUGGGAGAAUUGAGGGCAGAUUCUGCUGUUUGGAAAGCAGACUUCCAAAGCUGUCACUUGCUGUUCUAUUCAUACACUCCUGCAGCACUAAUUUCUGAACUUUCCUGUCCUUUUUGCAUGUUUAUUUUAGGUGGCUGGUUCUGCAAAACAAGGCCUCAUUUGGUUUGAACUGGUUAUUGAGCUGUAAAAGGGGAACCUGUAAGAGUGUAUUUCUAAGAAAAUACAUUUUUAAAUUACUUGCUUUUCAAUUUUAUUUUUCAUUAUUUUGAUUUAGAGGAAAAAUGUGGAAGAGCACAUUGUUCAUAGCCACAUUUUCAUUUUGACCUUAAGCAUUUAACUUCUUGCAGAGGAGUUUGUCCAGUCUUUGUAGUCACUAUUGCAGCAGCAUAGUUAAUGAUGCAAUCAUUACAUGCCCUUUUAUUUUGAUUUACAGUAAUUUUUAGCUUGUAGAAGAUGAAUUUACUAGUUUUAUUUAUGAUCAAGCAAUUUUGCAGUUAAAAAAAUUCUGUGAAGUUUUAGGUUGAGCAAAUUAUUGUGGGUCAUUUGGGCAUAGUUCCUAAUUGUUAAUCUACCUCAGGUGGAAGAAAGAAGCAGGCAGAAGAGCUGUGAUUUAUUAUCAGCCAUAGGCUAAAUAAAAUUACCUUGUUUCAAAUGCCUGUGCUUUUCAGGUAGAUUGCUUGGUAAAUCUGGGUGUUUUAACAAGAGUUUUAGCAGUUUAGGCACUCUGUUCAUUUUUAGAAUAGGUCUUUCCCAGUUGCAAAUUACUUCCCCCUAGUGAAUUUCUUCUAGUGUCUUUCAAAGAGCAAUGCAAUUUAAGUUGAAAAAACAAAAUGUCCAUGUAUUGCUGCCAUUGUAGGGAUUUCUCUUCAAUCUGUAUCCAUAAACAUUUUUUAGGUAUGGAAUCAUAUGCUCAGUUAUUUAGCCUUGCAGAACUGUUAGAAGCUGAGGAAAAUAAAAUGUAGCAACUUAUUUCACGUAUGUUGUCACACCGAUAUUCUCUGCUUUAUUAAAAAAAAAAAAUGGCUUUUUAAAAAAAACCCAAAAAAAUAGCUACUGCUUCACUUGUUUCUUUCCUAGCUCCUUCACCACUGGGCAUGGAGUCAGGACAGUCUGCAGCUGCCUUUCAGGUGAUGAACUCAGUUUGCAGUGCAUGUGUGAGUGGGAGAAUGCUGCAGUUUGAGCUUUCUCUGAGGUGUAGUCACAUGUAGCACUAAGAGUACAUGCAUCCUGAUUCUCAUUUUCUCUAAAGAAUUAAAAACUCAACUCAAAAAGCAUUAAACAAUAGUAAGUAGAGCAUGAGAAGUAGCACUGCAACAAACAAGUAUUUCUACUUUUUCCUUCAGAACCAUUCCUGUACAGACAUGCAGCCUGACUUCUGCAAUUGAGUUUUACAAGAAAAUCCUUCCUAAGCCAGAUAGUUUACAAUUGACAGAUAAUCUAAAGAAAAUUUGCAUUUAUCUCAAACAUGUUUUCAGAUAGUUUUGUGUUUCUUAGAGGAUGUCUGGAAUAAAGUCUCACACUAUGAUUCCCAAGGUCCUCACCCCCAGUAUCUGUGUGCCCCGAAAUUGUAGAUUUUUUUUGUAAGGAGCAAAUAAUACUCUUUAUUUCACUGUGGAGUCUACAUAUGUUUUGCACUGCACAUUGAUUACAAUGCAAAUUAUGGCCCUAUUCUUUAAAAACUGUAACAGAAGUUUUGCUCACAUUGUUUCUGGUUCCUGAGAAUUCCCUCAACCUGAACAAAAUUUUGCUACAAAAUUUUGUCAUCUACAGAGUCAGUAUGAUUAUAUUUUGCUUUCAUUAUAUCUGACAGAGCUGUGCUAAAGCACAUCUGGAGCUUAGAAAUUGUGUGAUGGCUGUGUAUCAAAUCUGUUUUUUGAAAAGGUAAAAAAAAACCUCUCAAAAUUGCAUAUUUUUUGAGGCAUAUGUGUUGGUGUUGUGCUUGCAUGUUCCUUUGCUUGUGUAUAUGUGUAUUCUUGACAUUCUCAUUUUGUUGCAGUACCCAGAGUGAUACUGCAUCCUGGUCCUUCCUUUACAUACAGGGUUGAGGGUUUUAGGGACCCUGUUUUGCAAAUUAGUUUUUCAUAGGCCCUUUACCAGGCUAUACUUUGCAAAAGGGGAGAGGCAGUGCUUAAUUUUUGUCUACUCCUGACGUUUUAUGAGGAAGAUUGUGGUUUACUUUCAUGGGGAUGGUGUAUCGCUUAACUGAAUAAUAAAUACAGUUACCAGAGAUAAAUGCCUGAAAUAAAUGGCAAAAAAGGAAGAGCAGAGGCUGAAGGAGCAAAACAAUGUAGGGUUUUUUUGCCUCACAACUGAAGUAAAAUCUUUGUACCUACACACUUCUCUUGCUGUCAUUGCUACUCUUAAACCAAAAGCCUUUUUAUUAGUGGAGGCUGUGGUACCUGCAGUUCCAGUCACAGUUCAAAACCAGGCAAGAAAACGUGAGCUAAGUCACAUUUCUGACAUCUGUUUUCCUUUAAUUGAUCGAAACAUUUAGCAGAGUCAGAAAAUUUACAGGAAAUAAAUGAAUGUAUCUUCCUGUUUAUAUCUUAUGACUGUUUUCUGCUUUUGCCGGGCUGGUCAGCUGAAGGCUCUGUGUGGAGAGGCAGGAGUGAGCAAAGCCUUGAAGAUCAGCAGGGAAGUAUUCCUUCACCUGUCUUUGGCCUAACUUACAUUGGCAUUUUAUUCUACAGGU